rnacentral:rRNA from 1 species
ACGAACGCUGGCGGCGUGCUUCACACAUGCAAGUCGAACGGAAAGGCCCUGCUUUUGUGGGGUGCUCGAGUGGCGAACGGGUGAGUAACACGUGAGUAACCUGCCCUUGACUUUGGGAUAACUUCAGGAAACUGGGGCUAAUACCGGAUAGGAGCUCCUGCUGCAUGGUGGGGGUUGGAAAGUUUCGGCGGUUGGGGAUGGACUCGCGGCUUAUCAGCUUGUUGGUGGGGUAGUGGCUUACCAAGGCUUUGACGGGUAGCCGGCCUGAGAGGGUGACCGGCCACAUUGGGACUGAGAUACGGCCCAGACUCCUACGGGAGGCAGCAGUGGGGAAUAUUGCACAAUGGGCGGAAGCCUGAUGCAGCAACGCCGCGUGCGGGAUGACGGCCUUCGGGUUGUAACCCGCUUUCGCCUGUGACGAAGCGUGAGUGACGGUAAUGGGUAAAGAAGCACCGGCUAACUACGUG